GGAAUAUAAGAAUCCGUCUCUUAACUUUUUACUAAAAAAGCUAAGAACCAGUUCUUAAAUAAAAGUUUUAAAAGCCGGUUCUUAACAUUUUUAGUUAAAAGUUAAGAGACGGAUUCUUAUAUUCC
rfam:Brassica napus, WGS project CCCW01000000 data, contig: 13895